CCUACGGGAGGCAGCAGUGGGGAAUAUUGCACAAUGGGGGAAACCCUGAUGCAGCGACGCCGCGUGAGCGAUGAAGUAUUUCGGUAUGUAAAGCUCUAUCAGCAGGGAAGAAGAUGACGGUACCUGACUAAGAAGCCCCGGCUAACUACGUGCCAGCAGCCGCGGUAAUACGUAGGGGGCAAGCGUUAGCCGGAUUUACUGGGUGAAAAGGGAGCGUAGACGGCGGGGCGAGCCAGAUGUGAAAGCCCGGGGCUCAACCCCGGGACUGCAUUUGGAACUGUGCUGCUAGAGUGUUGGAGAGGGAGGCGGAAUUCCAGGUGUAGCGGUGAAAUGCGUAGAGAUUAGGAGGAAUACCAGUGGCGAAGGCGGCCUGCUGGACGAUGACUGACGUUGAGGUGCGAAAGCGUGGGGAGCAAACAGGAUUAGAUACCCGAGUAGUC
rnacentral:rRNA from 1 species